rnacentral:tRNA from 1 species
AAGGAUAAGGAAACCUGCCAUUUGCGUCUUGUUUAGUUUUGAGAGGUCUUGUGGGGCCUUAGCUCAGCUGGGAGAGCGCCUGCUUUGCACGCAGGAGGUCAGCGGUUCGAUCCCGCUAGGCUCCAUUGAAUCGAAAGGUUCAAAUUGUUCAUUGAAAAUUGAAUAUCUAUAUCAAAUUCCACGAUCUAGAAAUAGAUUGUAGAACAGUAACAAGAAAAUAAACCGAAAACGCUGUGAAUAUUUAAUGAGUUUUCUAGUUUUAAAGAAACUAGGUUAAUAA